UCCGAUGUGGUGUAGUGGCUAACAUUGCUGUCUUUCAUGGGUAGAAUCACGCAUAUGUCUCACAGCAGCCCGGGGUUCGAUUCCCCGCAUCGGAA